GGUGAUAGUCCCGUACACCAAAAUGCACAGGCUGUGAACUCGAAGAGUAGGGCGGGACACGUGGUAUCCUGUCUGAAUAUGGGGGGACCAUCCUCCAAGGCUAAAUACUCCUGACUGACCGAUAGUGAACCAGUACCGUGAGGGAAAGGCGAAAAGAACCCCGGCGAGGGGAGUGAAAAAGAACCUGAAACCGUGUACGUACAAGCAGUGGGAGCACCUUCGGGUGUGACUGCGUACCUUUUGUAUAAUGGGUCAGCGACUUAUAUUCUGUAGCAAGGUUAACCGUAUAGGGGAGCCGCAGGGAAACCGAGUCUUAACUGGGCGUUAAGUUGCAGGGUAUAGACCCGAAACCCGGUGAUCUAGCCAUGGGCAGGUUGAAGGUUGGGUAACACUAACUGGAGGACCGAACCGACUAAUGUUGAAAAAUUAGCGGAUGACUUGUGGCUGGGGGUGAAAGGCCAAUCAAACCGGGAGAUAGCUGGUUCUCCCCGAAAGCUAUUUAGGUAGCGCCUCGUGAACUCAUCUUCGGGGGUAGAGCACUGUUUCGGCUAGGGGGUCAUCCCGACUUACCAACCCGAUGCAAACUACGAAUACCGAAGAAUGUUAUCACGGGAGACACACGGCGGGUGCUAACGUCCGUCGUGAAGAGGGAAACAACCCAGACCGCCAGCUAAGGUCCCAAAGUCAUGGUUAAGUGGGAAACGAUGUGGGAAGGCACAGACAGCCAGGAUGUUGGCUUAGAAGCAGCCAUCAUUUAAAGAAAGCGUAAUAGCUCACUGGUCGAGUCGGCCUGCGCGGAAGAUGUAACGGGGCUAAACCAUGCACCGAAGCUGCGGCAGCGACACUAUGUGUUGUUGGGUAGGGGAGCGUUCUGUAAGCCUGCGAAGGUGUGCUGUGAGGCAUGCUGGAGGUAUCAGAAGUGCGAAUGCUGACAUAAGUAACGAUAAAGCGGGUGAAAAGCCCGCUCGCCGGAAGACCAAGGGUUCCUGUCCAACGUUAAUCGGGGCAGGGUGAGUCGACCCCUAAGGCGAGGCCGAAAGGCGUAGUCGAUGGGAAACAGGUUAAUAUUCCUGUACUUGGUGUUACUGCGAAGGGGGGACGGAGAAGGCUAUGUUAGCCGGGCGACGGUUGUCCCGGUUUAAGCAUGUAGGCUGAUUGUCCAGGCAAAUCCGGAUAAUCAAGGCUGAGGUGUGAUGACGAGGCACUACGGUGCUGAAGUAACAAAUGCCCUGCUUCCAGGAAAAGCCUCUAAGCAUCAGGUAACAUCAAAUCGUACCCCAAACCGACACAGGUGGUCAGGUAGAGAAUACCAAGGCGCUUGAGAGAACUCGGGUGAAGGAACUAGGCAAAAUGGUGCCGUAACUUCGGGAGAAGGCACGCUGGUGUGUAGGUGAAGUCCCUGCGGAUGGAGCUGAGACCAGUCGAAGAUACCAGCUGGCUGCAACUGUUUAUUAAAAACACAGCACUGUGCAAACACGAAAGUGGACGUAUACGGUGUGACGCCUGCCCGGUGCCGGAAGGUUAAUUGAUGGGGUUAUCCGUAAGGAGAAGCUCUUGAUCGAAGCCCCGGUAAACGGCGGCCGUAACUAUAACGGUCCUAAGGUAGCGAAAUUCCUUGUCGGGUAAGUUCCGACCUGCACGAAUGGCGUAAUGAUGGCCAGGCUGUCUCCACCCGAGACUCAGUGAAAUUGAACUCGCUGUGAAGAUGCAGUGUACCCGCGGCAAGACGGAAAGACCCCGUGAACCUUUACUAUAGCUUGACACUGAACAUUGAGCCUUGAUGUGUAGGAUAGGUGGGAGGCUUUGAAGCGUGGACGCCAGUCUGCGUGGAGCCAACCUUGAAAUACCACCCUUUAAUGUUUGAUGUUCUAACGUUGGCCCCUGACCGGGGUUGCGGACAGUGUCUGGUGGGUAGUUUGACUGGGGCGGUCUCCUCCCAAAGCGUAACGGAGGAGCACGAAGGUUAGCUAAUCCUGGUCGGACAUCAGGAGGUUAGUGCAAUGGCAUAAGCUAGCUUGACUGCGAGCGUGACGGCGCGAGCAGGUGCGAAAGCAGGUCAUAGUGAUCCGGUGGUUCUGAAUGGAAGGGCCAUCGCUCAACGGAUAAAAGGUACUCCGGGGAUAACAGGCUGAUACCGCCCAAGAGUUCAUAUCGACGGCGGUGUUUGGCACCUCGAUGUCGGCUCAUCACAUCCUGGGGCUGAAGUAGGUCCCAAGGGUAUGGCUGUUCGCCAUUUAAAGUGGUACGCGAGCUGGGUUUAGAACGUCGUGAGACAGUUCGGUCCCUAUCUGCCGUGGGCGCUGGAGAAUUGAGGGGGGCUGCUCCUAGUACGAGAGGACCGGAGUGGACGCAUCACUGGUGUUCGGGUUGUCAUGCCAAUGGCACUGCCCGGUAGCUAAAUGCGGAAGAGAUAAGUGCUGAAAGCAUCUAAGCACGAAACUUGCCCCGAGAUGAGUUCUCCCUGAGACUUUAAGUCUCCUGAAGGAACGUUGAAGACGACGACGUUGAUAGGCCGGGUGUGUAAGCGCAGCGAUGCGUUGAGCUAACCGGUACUAAUGAACCGUGAGGCUUAACCUU
rnacentral:rRNA from 1 species